rnacentral:rRNA from 1 species
UACGUAGGAUGCAAGCGUUGUCCGGAAUUAUUGGGCGUAAAGAGCGCGCAGGCGGUCUAUCAAGUCAGAUGUGAAAUAUCCCGGCUUAACCGGGAGGGGUCAUUUGAAACUGGUAGACUAGAGUACAGCAGAGGAUAGCGGAAUUCCCGGUGUAGUGGUGAAAUGCGUAGAUAUCGGGAGGAACACCAGUGGCGAAGGCGGCUAUCUGGGCUGAAACUGACGCUGAGGCGCGAAGGCUAGGGGAGCAAACAGG